UAUUUAGUGAGGCUGAAAGUAUCCGAUUGAACGAAAAACAGUCCUAACAGAGUAACUGGUCUUUUUGCUAUUCUCAACUGAGAAAAUGGAAGACCCGAAAGCUGCCCCGAACCCACCAACUGCAACCGCAAACGCAGCCGCUCCUCCACCGCAGCCACCACCCGCAGCACCAGAACAGCCAGCUAGCAAGAAAAGACCUCUAGAAAACAGCAAUGACCAGUACCACAGAAUUCUCCGUAUUUCAAGACGAGUCUUGUUCUCAAAGAUCUUCGUACUCAUUUCAUCGAGGUUCUUCGAGUGUCUGAUUUUCGAAACUGCAAGGCAGCCGAUGAAAUAAAAGAAAAGACAAAGCAUUUAGUGGAAUUGUACAAUCAGAUGUUAGCCUCCGUAGAGAAAAGUAACAGUGCACCCGGAGCCGGAGGUCAGACACUGCAAGUUGAAACCAGAAUGAAGCAGAAGCCCCAGGAGCAACCGCAAGUCAUUAAGCCAACACCAGCAGUAUCAUCCAAAACCAAGAUUUUGCAGUCAAGUAGUGUCACCAGGAAACUACAAUCUGACGAUGGUGGUGAAGCUACAAUCUGACGAUGGUGAAGCUCAGGGGACAUAUAUUGUUGGGGGCUCGGCUUUUGGGUGGAACUUUAUAACCUUUACAGGGAAUAAACCAGUCUAUUAUGGGGUAACAAAGGAAUCGUUCCGUAGUGCUCAAGCAAGUUCUGGUUUAGGGGGAGAGUGAAAGUCUUUCUGACAUGUAUUGUGGGCUAAAUAUUGCAUAAACACUAAAUGCUUUUGGAGCUCAAACGUUA